rnacentral:rRNA from 1 species
GCUAUACAUGCAAGUCGAGCGGACAGAAGGGAGCUUGCUCCCGGAUGUUAGCGGCGGACGGGUGAGUAACACGUGGGUAACCUGCCUGUAAGACUGGGAUAACUCCGGGAAACCGGAGCUAAUACCGGAUAGUUCCUUGAACCGCAUGGUUCAAGGAUGAAAGACGGUUUCGGCUGUCACUUACAGAUGGACCCGCGGCGCAUUAGCUAGUGGGGGGGGGAACGGCUCACCAAGGGGACGAUGCGUAGCCGACCUGAGAGGGUGAUCGGCCACGCGGGGACUGAGACACGGCCCAGACUCCUAGGGGAGGCAC